ensembl:lncRNA
AACAGGAACGCCCUUCCAUAUUUCUUAAUACCAGGAAAAAGAGGCCUUGGAUAGAGGAUUUUAAGAAUUUCAACUACCAGGAAAGAGUAUGAUAUACAUUAAACAAUUAAAUUCCAGUUUAUGCUUUAGGGACUAAAUAAUUUUUAAGCUCUUAAUUAUGAAAAUUUCCUAAUAUCUACAAAAGUAGAGGGAAUAGGAUAGAUAGUGAAUUCCUAUAUAGUUUUCACUCAACUCUCCAAUAAUUAUUCCUACUUUGCCAAUUUUGUUUCAUUUAUUCUCCCAAGUUUUGGUGGGGAAGAGGCUGGAGUAUUCCAAAGCAAAUUUUACACAUCUUGUGAUUUUUGCUGGAUAUCUCCUGUGUCCCCUCCGAGUCCACUCUUUCUCUACCUCUCACCCCUGCUCUGAUUCCCUUGAGGCUUUCCUUUACAGAAUGCAGGUAAAGGACUUCCUUACUCAGUAGCAUCCAGUUGGGUUCUGCCAAUGGGGAGCAUCAUCAGGAGAUGGAACUUAAUGCCUUAAGGCACUAUUCCUCUGGCGCCCUUUCUGAGGGUUUGUUGCAGCCAGGUGUAUCCUACCAAAUGCCACAGCUUCUCUUCAUAGAGUUCUCUCUCCUCUGGUUCUGAUACCUACACCCUUUCCUCAUCCCUAGUUCUAGGGGUGGUAACAGUUGUUGUCGUUGCUAGUCCAGGGGGACCGUGUUAUCCCUUCUAAUUUCCUUACAGCCUUCCUAACAUCUUUGAAAAGGAUCCUUUUAAAAUAACCUGAUUUGAUUGUGCUAUUGUUUUCUGCUGAAACCCAACUGAAAUGUCCUUGUGCACAUAACUGGUCUGCAUCUCUAGUUGGUAAAAGUAUUUUUAGAAAAGAGUAGCCCCUGUGGGAGUUCCCUGGUGGCCUAGUGAUUAAAGGAUCCAGCACUGUCACUGCUGUGGCCUGGGUCAUACUGUGGCACAAGUCCAGUCCUUGGCCUGGGAAAAAAAAAAGUAACCACUAUGUCAUUAUCACUAUAACAAAUUAACAAUAAUUCCUAAAUAACAUUCCAAAUUCAAAUUUCUCCAGUUGACUAAAAGCAUGUCUUUGGUAAUUGGUUUAAGAUCCAAUCAAAUCCCAUACUUUAAAAAUUUUUGUACCUUUUGGAAUUCCCAUUGUGGCUCAGCCGAAACGAAUCCGACUAGUAUCCAUGGGGACACGGGUUCGAUCCCUGGCCUUGCUCAGUGGUUAAGGAUCUGGCAAUGCCAUGAGCUGUGGUGUAGGUCGCAGAUGUGGCUGGGAUCCUGUGUUGCUGUGGCUGUGGUGUAGGCCAGCAGCUGUAGCUUUGAUUCAGCCCCUAGCCUGGAAACCUCCGUAUGCCGUGGGUGUGGUCCUAAAAAGCUGGAAAAAAAGUUAUUGUACCUUUUAAUUUUCUUUAGUUGAUAACAAUCUCUGCUCCCCCCCCCCAAAAUGUAUAUUGUUGCUUUAUUGGAGAAAUCAGGUCGUUUAUUCUGUAAAACAUCCUACGUUCUGGAUUUGAUGAUUGCUUCUACAUGGUGUAAUUUAACUUUCUUCUCUAUCCCUUGCAUUUCUGUUAGCUACAUUUAAAUGUUUGAUCAAAUUUAGUUUCUUUUCUUUUCUUUUCGGGCCACACCUGCGCCAUAUGGAAUUUCCCAGGCCAGGGGUCAAAUCAGAGCUGCGGCUGCCAGCCUACACCACAGCCAUGGCAAUACCAGAUCUGAGCUGCAUCUUUGAUAUAUGCUGCAGCUUGUGGCAAUGCCAGAUCCUUAACCCAUUGAGCAAGGCCAGGGAUAGAACCCAUCUCCUCAUGGAUGCUAGUCGGGCUCUUAACCCGUUGGGCCACAACAGGAUCUCCAAGGUGUCUUCUACUCUUAAAGGGGUGGCAGUCCUACUGGAUUAGGGCUCCAGCCUUCUUACAUCAUGUAACCUAAAAGUUAUUGUUGUUGUAAGUAUUGUUGUUAACCUACCUCCAAAUACCAUCAUACUGGGAGUUAGGGCUUCAACAUGUGAAUUGUGAGUGGGGUCGGGGGGAGGGGGGGCACACAAUUUGGUUCAUAACAGCCACUAUGAAGUGACUCCUGGUUUGUCCAUUUUCUAUAUCUAGCAGGGGUUCCAGCUGGAGCCUAUACUGCAAGUCCUUAGGACUCAAGCAUUGCUAGAGGACUGAUAGAGCAGAAUUAUCAGGACUCUAUUUAUAUGUAGCUCCUGAAGCACCUUAGGAAAGGAGCCAUCCUAAGAGAGGCCUGAGUCCCCAGGCCUGGCUCAAGGAUGUGAGCUGUUAUCAAAGAGGAGAUCUCCCAAAGCAACAGAAAUAAAAGCAAAUAUAAACCAAUAGAACCUAAUCAAAUUGGCAAGCUUUUGCACAGCAAAGGAAACCAUAAAAAACCCAAAAAGACAACCUACAGAAUGGGAGAAAAUAGUUUCAAAUGAUGGAACUGACAAGGGCUUAAUCUCUAAAAUAUAUAAACAACUUAUACAACUCAACAGCAACAAACAAACAAAAACAAAACAAAAAACAGCCCAACAACCCAAUUGAAAAAUGGGCAAAAGACUUGACUAGAUAUUUCUCCAAAGAAAAUAUGCAGAUUGCCAACGAGCACAUGAAAAAAUGCUCAACAUCACUAAUUAUUAGAGAAAUGCAAAUCAAAACUACUAUGAAUUAUCACCUCAUACCUCUCAGAAUGGCCAUCAUUAACAAGUCAAGAAAUAACAAUUGCUGGAGAAGAUGUGGAGAAAAGGAAACCUCCUACACUGUUGGUGGGAAUGUAAAUUGGUACAACCACUGCAGAAAACAGUACUGAGGUACUUCAGAAAACUGAAUAUAAUGCUAUAUAUAAUAUGACCCAGCAAUUCCACUCUUAGGCAUAUAUCCCGGUAAAACUUUUAUUGAAAAAGAUACAUGCACCCAUAUGUUCAUUGCAGCACUGUUCACAAUAGCCAAGACAUGGGAACAACCCAAAUGUACAUCAACAGAUGAAUGGAUUAAUAAGAUGUGGUAUAUAUACACAAUGGAAUAUUACUCAGCCAUAAAAAAAGAAUGAAAUAAUGCCAUUUGCAGCAACAUGGAUGGAACUAGAGACUCAUACUAGGUGAAGUCAGAAAGACAAAUGCCAUAUGAUUUCACUUAUAUCUGGAAUCUAAUAUAUGGCACAAAUGAAACUUUCCACAGAAAAGAAACUCACAGACUUGAAGAACAGACUUGGGGUUGCCAAGGGGGAGAGAGAGGGAGGGGGAUGGACUGGGAGUUUGGGGUUAAUAUAUGCAAAUGAUAGCAUUUGGAGUGAAUAAGCAAUGAGAUCAUGCUGUAUAGCACAGGGAACUAUAUCUAGUCACUUGUGAUGGAACAUGAUGGAGGAUAAUGUGAAAAAAAUAAUAUAUAUGUAUGACUGGGUCACUUUGCUGUACAGUAGGAAUUGACAGAACACUAUAAAUCAACUGUAAUGGAAAAAAUAAAAAUCAUAUUAAAAAAAUGAAAGGAGAAGAAAUGGUGACCAGGUCAUUGUCUCUGUCAUUUAGGUCAGCCUUCAGCUUAGCCUCCAGGGAUUCAUGCCUCUGUCGCAAGGUAAAAGGGCUGCAGUCGGAAAAAAAAAAGGCAAAGUCAAACUAGAUAGAAACACCCAUUCAGUGGAAUUCUAUUCAGUGAGAAAAAGGGAUGAGUGACUCAUAACAGCCAAAAGGUGGAAGCAACCCAAAUGUCUAUUGACAGAUGAAUGGAUAAGCAAAAUGUAGUAUAUGCAUACAAUGGAAUAUUAUUCGGCCUUAAGAAGGGAGGAGAUUCUGAUAUAUGCUGUAAGUUGGAUGAACCCUGAGGACAUUGUGUUAAGUGAAAUACGCUAGUCAUAAAAAGACAAAUACUGUAAAAUUCUACUCAUGGGGGACCUAGAAUAGCCUUAAUUCACAGAGCUCGCAGAAUGGUGGUGACUUCUAGGACUGGGGGAAGGAGGAAUGGUGAGUUAUUGUUUAAUGGGCAUAGUUUUGCAAGAUGAUGUUUUGUUUUGAAAGAUGAUGAGAGUUCUGGAGGUGGAUGGUGGAUUGCACAAUAAUAUGAAUGUAUAUAUAUUUUUUAGUAUAUUUAGUACCACUAAGCUGUAAACUUAAAAAUGGUUAAGAUGGUAAAUUUUUUGUUACAUAUAUUCUACUACAAUUAAAAGAAAACCUUUUUUUUGGAAAAAAGAGAUGAGCUAUCAGAGUUCCUUUUGAGGUGCAAUGGGAUCUGUGGUGUCUGGGGAGCUCUGGGACACAGGUUCAAUCCCCGGCCUGGCACAGUGGGUUCUUAAUUGGCAUUGCUGCAGCUGCAGCUUUGGUUGCACCUGCAGCUUGAAUCUGAUCCCUGGCCCAGGACUCCAUAUGCCUAGGGGCAUCCAAAAAAGGAAAAAUAAAGAGAUGAGCUAACAAGCUAAGCAAAGACAUGGAUGAAUGUUGAAGGUAUAUUGCUAAGUGAAUCAGGUCUGAAGGGCUGCAAACUAUGAUUUUUAUUUACAGGAUAUUUUAGAAAAGACAAAACUACAAAAAACAGAAAAUGGAUUUGUAGAGAUCAGUAAGGAUUCAAUGGGGGAGGAGGGCUGAAGAGGUAAAGCACAGAGGAUAUUUUACGGUAGUGAAACCAUUUUGUAUAAUGCUGUAAUGAUGGAUGUAUGAUAUUAUGCAUAAACCCCAUAAAUUAAUAUAUGCAGAUUUUGAAGUAA